rnacentral:rRNA from 1 species
GACGAACGCUGGCGGCGUGCUUAACACAUGCAAGUCGAGCGGUAAGGCCCUUUCGGGGGUACACGAGCGGCGAACGGUGAGUAACACGUGGGUGACCUGCCCUCAGCUCUGGGAUAAGCCUGGGAAAACCGGGUCUAAUACUGGAUAUGACUCCAUGACGCAUGUUGUGGGGUGGAAAGCCUUGUGCGGCUGAGGAUGGGCCCGCGGCCUAUCAGCUUGUUGGUGGGGUGAUGGCCUACCAAGGCGACGACGGUAGCCGGCCUGAGAGGGCGACCGGCCACACUGGGACUGAGACACGGCCCAGACUCCUACGGGAGGCAGCAGUGGGGAAUCUUGCGCAAUGGGCGAAAGCCUGACGCAGCGACGCCGCGUGAGGGAUGACGGCCU